GAUGAACGCUGGCGGCGUGCCUAAUACAUGCAAGUCGAGCGAACGGACGAGAAGCUUGCUUUUCUGAUGUUAGCGGCGGAAGGGUGAGUAACACGUGGAUAACCUACCUAUAAGACUGGGAUAACUUCGGGAAACCGGAGCUAAUACCGGAUAAUAUUUUGAACCGCAUGGUUCAAAAGUGAAAGACGGUCUUGCUGUCACUUAUAGAUGGAUCCGCGCUGCAUUAGCUAGUUGGUAAGGUAACGGCUUACCAAGGCAACGAUGCAUAGCCGACCUGAGAGGGUGAUCGGCCACACUGGAACUGAGACACGGUCCAGACUCCUACGGGAGGCAGCAGUAGGGAAUCUUCCGCAAUGGGCGAAAGCCUGACGGAGCAACGCCGCGUGAGUGAUGAAGGUCUUCGGAUCGUAAAACUCUGUUAUUAGGGAAGAACAUAUGUGUAAGUAACUGUACACAUCUUGACGGUACCUAAUCAGAAAGCAACGGCUAACUACGUG
rnacentral:rRNA from 1 species